rnacentral:rRNA from 1 species
ACCGGUUGAUCCUGCCGGACCCGACCGCUAUCGGGGUAGGGCUAAGCCAUGCGAGUCGCGCGCCCGGGGGCGCCCGGGAGCGGCGCACGGCUCAGUAACACGUGCCCAACCUACCCUCGGGAGGGGGACACCCCCGGGAAACUGGGGCCAAUCCCCCAUAGGGGAAGGGCGCUGGAAGGCCCCCUCCCCGAAAGGACGGCGGCCGAUCCGCCGCCGCCCGCCCGAGGAUGGGGGCACGGCCCAUCAGGUAGUUGGCGGGUUAAAGGCCCGCCAAGCCGAAGACGGGUAGGGGCGGUGAGAGCCGCGAGCCCCGAGAUCGGCACUGAGACAAGGGCCGAGGCCCUACGGGGUGCAGCAGGCGCGAAUACUCCGCAAUGCGGGCAACCGCGACGGGGCUACCCCGAGUGCCGGGCGAAGAGCCCGGCUUUUGCCCGGUCUAAAACGCCGGGAGAAUAAGCGGGGGGCAAGUCUGGUGUCAGCCGCCGCGGUAAUACCAGCUCCGCGAGUGGUCGGGGUGUUUACUGGGCUUAAAGCGCCCGUAGCCGGCCCGGCAAGUCGCUCCUGAAAUCCCAGGGCUCAACCCUGGGGCGGGGGGCGAUACUGCCGGGCUAGGGGGCGGAAGAGGCCGCCGGUACUCCGGGGGUAGGGGCGAAAUCCGUUAAUCCCCGGAGGACCACCAGUGGCGAAAGCGGGCGGCCAGAACGCGCCCGACGGUGAGGGGCGAAAGCCGGGGGAGCAAAGGGAUUAGAUACCCCUGUAGUCCCGGCCGUAAACGAUGCGGGCUAGCUGUCGGCUGGGCUUAGGGCCCGGCCGGUGGCGAAGGGAAACCGUUAAGCCCGCCGCCUGGGGAGUACGGCCGCAAGGCUGAAACUUAAAGGAAAGGGAGGUUGGGAGCUGGGCGCGAAGGCUUAAAUAGCUCCCCGGCCCUCUAGGGCAUGGUGACGCUCAACGGGGAGCUGGCCUACUUAGCAGGAGCUUUACGAGACGGGACUGUGGUGAUUAGAAGCGGGUACGACUACGAGGUCAGGCUUGCGCAGAAGAGCCGCGAGUGGCUUGAGGUGCUAAACGACCUCUUUGCGAGGAUCUUCGGGAGAAGCGGCUCCAUAUACCGCGAGAAGAGGAGAGGCGCGUCCGGCGCCGUGAGGGCAUAUUACGUCCUGAGGAUAUUCGACAAGAGAGUAGUCGGCGAGCUGAUAAGGCUCUUCGACAUAGCUACGCCGCAGACCAGGUGGGGAACCCCCGACAUAAUAAGGCGCGCAGGCGCAGACAUUGUGAAGCACUACGUGAGGGGGUUCUUCGACGCCGAAGGCGGCUUGCCCAAAGACCCCACCCGCGCCAAACAGCACUACAUCUCCUUCGACCAGGCAAACCUCGACGCCCUGGCCUUCAUCAGAAGCCAACUGGCGCAGAUGGGCUACCGCCCUACGAGGAUCACCAAGACGGGUAGCGUGUGGCAGUUCAGGCUGACGCGGAGGGCCGACAUUAUGAGAUUUAAAAACGAAAUCGGGUCGUGGCACCCCGAAAAGAAGCGGAGGCUCGACCUCCUGUACGCCUCCCUGGGACGACAAGACCUCCUUUUCCCCUCCAGUCCUCUUCAUCCAUCCGCCCAGCUCCCGCCUCCCCCUGAAUUGGCGGGGGGGCACCACAAGGGGUGAAGCUUGCGGCUUAAUUGGAGUCAACGCCGGAAACCUCACCCGGGGCGACAGCAGGAUGAAGGCCAGGCUAACGACCUUGCCGGACGAGCUGAGAGGAGGUGCAUGGCCGUCGUCAGCUCGUGCCGUGAGGUGUCCGGUUAACCCGUACCCACCACGGGGCCGAAAGUCCGGCAACGAGCGAGACCCCCACCCCUAGUUGCUACCCGGCCCUUCGGGGCCGGAGGCACACUAGGGGGACUGCCGGCGUAAGCCGGAGGAAGGAGGGGGCCACGGCAGGUCAGUAUGCCCCAAAACCCCGGGGCUGCACGCGAGCUGCAAUGGCGGGGACAGCGGGACCCGACCCCGAAAGGGGGAGGCAAUCCCGUAAACCCCGCCCCAGUAGGGAUCGAGGGCUGCAACUCGCCCUCGUGAACGUGGAAUCCCUAGUAACCGCGUGUCACCAACGCGCGGUGAAUACGUCCCUGCCCCUU